AUUUUAUUAAUAUUAAAUAAUAACAUUUAUUUUGGCGCAUCAAGCUUGGUGUGUAUCCAAGGUUACCAAAUUAAAUUUGGUAUUUGGAUACACUCGGCAUUUUCCGUAUACAGUAAUCAUUAGUGUGUGACCACUGGUCAGUCAAUAGUCGGCAUGUGUACAACCAACAGAAAAUGAAAUGGUUUCAAAAUAUAUCUGUCAACAUCGUUAUUUUGCUUCAAGUAGAAUGCUUAGCUUGGUCUGGCAUUGUUACAAAAUGCUGUCAAUUAUCGUAAUAAUGGAUAUUGGCGGCGAAAACCAGGAUUUCAAAGGUAAUUUUUAUCCUCGAAAUUUUUGUUUGUUCGCACUCGUGAAAUCACAAUUGAGUUUAUGAAAAUGGCAUGGCAUCUAGCAUUAACAUUGUUAAGAAUAUUGCAGCUGUAUAAAACAUACAUUUGAAGUAAAAGUUUGGUGCCACUUGUAACCUAGUAGAAAUAAUGAAUGUUUCGUAUUUUCUCGGGAACCAAUAAUUUCUCGGUGGUCGUAUACUCGUAAUAAAAUUAAUUACAUUGGUGACACACGUCAUUCAUUAGAAUCAUUCUACGUGCAACCAACUACUUAGACAAAAUGUAUUCUCUUAAAUCAUAAAUGUAAAUGUACGUGUCCGAGGAAAUUCGCUAAGUUGUCGUUUUAGUCGUGCUGUCCGAUUAUGUCUAUCCGAAAAUUUGCUAGUCAGAUAAACACGCGAAGUCUCGUUGGUAAAUGCCUGUUAGAAAAAUAUAGAUUAUUGUUAUUAUGUGGGAUAGGUAUGGAUUAUAUCAUUAGAUAGACAUGUUUUCCUAUCAGGUCGGGCUAUUGUCUAUCUAAAUUAAAUGUUGUAUGGAUUACAAAUUGUUUGUACUCGGAAAUUGUUGUUGUUUACUUUACUACAUAGGAAAGAUAACUACGGUUUCAAUACUCAUGUUUAGGCCAGGAUAGAAGUAUUAAAAAACUUGGUUUAAUGAACUUACGUAAUAGGGUAAUUGCCAGGAAAAUAUAUGGAUUUAAUUUCAUUUAAGUAAUUGUUAAUUUUAUACUCGUAGAGUCUGAAAGAAUGUUUGUAUGGAGAUACUGUACAUGUAUUGUAAAAAGAAACAAAACACUUGUGAUCAAUGAUAUUAAUGCCGCCUAUCACAGUACUCUGUCUGUGGUCAGAAUUAAGGCACAACGAUCUGAGGUAAAUGUCAUUAUUGAAGUUUUUAAUUUGCCAUUUGUUUACUGCCUUGCAUUUUAAUUUAAUAGACAUCCUGCGUGUCCUUAUUAGUCUAAAUAAUGAGACCUCGGGUAGGUCGAUUUUACAUUCUGAUAUUUUACGUUGAAUAUUUACCAGUCAAAAAAGUAAUAAUAAUAUAUAUAUAUAACAAUAUUCAAGGCCUGAGUACAAUUACUGGGACUAGCAUGUCCUAGGCCUUUAGUAAGAUCAGUGAUAGAGAAUUCUGGGGGAGAAUUUAGCUGCUUAUACAAAUAUAAUUUCACAUGGGGAAAGUUACAAAGACUAUAUCGUAUAUAACAACAUUAUUAUCAAUUACACAAUUUUGUUAACUUAUAAAUGAGCAUAGCAUUCCGACACGAUUAUCCACUACAAUAAUCUGGCAGAUAAGUACUUGCCUUGAAAGAAAUCCAUGUAAUUUUAUGGCUGAAUAAUUUAAUUUUGUGUAUGUUAAUUGAAUAUAUAGAUAAAUUUUAUUUGAGGUCAGUAUUUGUACACUUCAGUCGUUUCAAUCGGUCUUCAUAGGAGGAAGGGAUGGUAAUUUCGUACAGGCAGUAAUUUUGUCGGCAGUUAUUAAGCAUAUUCUCUUAAUUAAUAAAUAUUUAGCAUGAUCACUUGGUUCUAAUGUUUCUUUUGUAGAUACUUUUACAUCUAGCAUAUAAUAUUAUCUCUGCUAAAUUGGAUGGCAUGGUUUAAUCAUGCAGUCACCCAGUUCAGUUUCUAUUUACUUUGUCAUGUUACAAAUUAGCUUUAGUAUAACUGCACUUCUACACUCUAUAUAAGCAGGAUAACUGAAUAAUAACAAAUUUGCUUAUUAAGGAAAUACACUCUGCAUAACCACAUAUUGUAAAAAGUCUGUUCAAUUUUUAUUACAGUGCGAAAAUGCUCAACUUCUAACUUAUGUAUUACAAAUUUCUGUAUUUAAUAUGGUACCAACACCAAGUUUUAUAUUGCAAGACAAUGGUACUAUUACAGGCAAAAUCAAUGUGUUUCAUGUGCGAACUUUUAAGCCUGAUUCACAUUUAAUGGGAUGAUUGGGCAAAGAACUGGUCCCUGUGCCUGUGGUCUCAUGAUCGCAGCUUAAAUAAUAUAUAAUGUUUUGAAACAGGUAAAUUUAAGGGAUAUGGAGGAAACCGUAAAUUCAUUAGUCCAAUGUUGCAAACAUAAAAUCCCAAAACAUAUUAUAGUUAAGCAAUUAAAAACAAUUUUAGCAUUUAAUAUACAUACAUAUUUAGGUUGGCAGUCACAAAUAAUCUAGCGUACAAUAAUAAGAAAUGUUAGUAACUAAACAAAAGUAUUAUUCUAAGAGUAAGGUUCGUUAUGUGAAAGUUUUAAGUGUGACAAUCUUGCGAAUUUGCAUGACAAACAGUCUGUCUGUUUUUGAUAUUUUCAAUUUGUCUUUUAUGCGAUGAGUCUAUAAUUUAUAAACAACAAAAAGAAAACAAUAACAGCAAAAACAGUAACAAAAAUCUUCCAUGAUUCAGUUUGGUUUAAAAAUAAAUUGAAAAAAUAAAAAUAAAUAGGGCAAUGAUUGUAAUAUAAAUUUUGUAGUAGUGACGGGUCGGAGCUUGAAUUCCACAUUAUCGUGUUACAAUUGAAACAGAAACUGUUUCACCAUUAAUGGUAAAUAUAUAAAUUGGAUGUGAUUAAAGGGCUUUAAUUAAAAGAAAUUAUUGAAUCAUUGCUUUACUUUAAUUUUAACUGUUUGUAUGAAAAAUUUAACUGUAUGAAAAAGAAACAAUAACACAAAGUUUACAUCAGAAAUAGAGCGCACGAAAUAUCAUUCAAGGCCUAAUUUGUGCAUUAGACAAUUUAUAUUUUGUCAUUAUGUCGGUUAGAACAUCCAUAAGUAUCAUUAAUAAUAAUAAUAAUAAUAAUAAUAAUAAUAAUAAAAAAUGGGUAUCAGUAUGAAUACAGUUAGUACAGGAUCAAGUAAUUGGGCAACAUAGCUGACUUUGUCCUGAAGGCAAGAGCCUGAUAAAGCAGGAUAAAAGAUGUCAUAGUCAUCAUCAUUAAUUUUGAAAUAAACAGAAGUUGUCAAAGGCUGCAAGUUUCUAAGACAACUUUGAUUAGGUUUGUAGUAAGUCAUUAGAAUUUUGGGGGAAUAAAUUUUUCAAAUUUAUUGUGGCGGAAAAUUCUAUGACUGGGCGAGCAGGCAGGCGCAUGCUCUUGUAAAAUAUAGGUCAGAUUUAAUGUUACAAUCUUUUGGUGGUUGUAUGUUGUUGUUGUUGUGAUGUAUUCUGCUAGGUCGGUUGACAGUAAUCGAACCAUUGGUUGCUUGUCUGUUGUUAAAGUGAUACUAACAGCUAGCUCUGUUAACACUUUAGUGUGUUAACCGCUAGGUCAGUUAAAUUGUGUUAACCGCUAGGUCGGUUAAAGUGUGUUAACCGCUAGGUCGGUUAAAGUGUGUUAACCGCUAGGUCGGUUAUAGUGUGUUAACAGCUGUGUCGAUUUAAAGUGUGUUACCGCUAUGUCGGUUAACGGAUAGGUCAGUUUACAGUGUGAACUAGGUUUUGCCCAUUACUACGUAGCGUAAUUCCUAGUUUCACAAGUCCGCAGUUGCUAUUUUAAUCAAUUUAUUGAAAACAUGCGCUUGCUUGCUCGUCAGUCAGUGGGCCUGAUAUCAUGCGGCCUUUUCUGCCACUUAUUAAUAUGAUUGAUAUACAAUUUUGUUCAGUACCCUUUGGUGUAACUUGUUUGUAUGUUGAAGUGUUGACCUGGAAUAAAGUAUUAUCGCUUACAUAAUGUUGCUAGUUAUUUCCUUGAGAAGUCCUAAAAUAAGACUUAUUAUUUUAUUAAUAUUAAAUAAUAACAUUUAUUUUGGCGCAUCAAGCUUGGUGUGUAUCCAAGGUUACCAAAUUAAAUUUGGUAUUUGGAUACACUCGGCAUUUUCCGUAUACAGUAAUCAUUAGUGUGUGACCACUGGUCAGUCAAUAGUCGGCAUGUGUACAACCAACAGAAAAUGAAAUGGUUUCAAAAUCCCACCCGCCACUCCCAUUUAGGUGCCAUGCCAUUUACUUGUCAUAUUGUUAGUGGUACAUGUCAGUGAAUAUCUAGUAGGUCACCAUUUGCAACCUAUAAUAUUAUAUAUAUAUAAAAAAAGAUGCAAAAUUGAUCUGUUUUAAAUGGUUCGGGAUUGCAGGUGUUUGGCAGUUACAUGUCUCUGUAUAGUAUGGAGCAUAGUUUAAAUUAUUCGAGAUCAGUUUAACAAGUUUGUUUUUAGUAGAGUAGCUGGUACAUGUAUGGUGACAUAUUUUGUUAUUUACAAUGUUUAAUAUCCAUGUAUUUUGCAGUAUACUGCCGGUGGAGUUUUAUAUAUUUUCAGGCUGUUUAUGCAGUAAGGAAGGAAAGUUGUGAACAGUCAGUAAAUAAAAAUGGACAAUAUACCACCCACAAAUGGUAUACCAAGCACAAAGGGAAGGAGUACAAACAAUAUUUAAAACCAUUACGUGAUGCCUGUUUAACACGGAUAUACAUACAAGCUAAAUUACUAAGCUAGUCAAGUGGAUUGUAUAAAUCAAAUUUAUCCAAAGCCUCUGGGAAUGUGGAAUAGAAACUUGAAAGCAACAAGUUUAGAAACUAGAAUGACUUUAAUUAACAACAGCUACAAAUGUCACAAUAAUUGUUUUAACAUGAACUUUCCAUUUGAUCCAUCACAAUUUCACAAAGCAGGAAAAUUCACAAACGCUGGAAUCCUAAAACUUAUAUACAAAUUAGACACACCUUGUCUAUUGGGACAGGCCUUGUCACAAACAAACAGUAAUUGCCUGUAACAAAACUAGGAGACAUACAAAAGGAAUUGUUCAAGAAAUAUCAGCUGCAGUGGCACUUACCAGGACAUUAGCUUAGUAUGUCAUGACAGGACAGUGAGUAAGAUGACAAUAUUACAAUAGCAAGAGGAGAAAUAUAAAUAUACUCUCUUAUAGUAAUAUGUAUUACUUAUUGUUUGCAAAAGUGUUUUAAUAACUUGUAACACUAACAUGUGUAACAGAAAACACUAAUAUAAGUAAUAUAAGUAAUUAAGCCGAGACUGGAAAGAUGUUUGUUCAAAUGUAGUUUUAUCAAUAGACUUACGCAAAUGGAAACCAAGAAGCGUCAGCUCCUUAAUAUCGAAGAACAAUUAAUCAAGGGAUGUCUCAGUAAUGGUCUUCACAUAAACAUAAAAUACUUUUUCAGCAGUGACAAUAUUAUUCCAUGCUUCAUUUCGGGGAUGUUCAGUUGCAAUUAUACUGAUUAUAUUGUGUGAAUUAGCUAUAUUUGUUUUUACAUGUUGAAAGUUGCAUAAAUAGUGCAAUGAACUUUGGGCAGUAUGAACUUUGAGUAAUCAAUGUUUCCUAAAUUCAACUGAUGUACUUUUAUAUGUUAUAUAAAUUGCAUAGUCAGCCAGGUCAUGUAAUCCAACGCUUUCCCGUACUUUUCUCUCAAAGAGUUUUUAGGGUUUUGGUGCGCGGAUUACAAAUAAAACUUGUACAUGAUUUUAUUUUGCUUAAUCUCUGUUCAUUGCACUAUUUACUGUUUAUGCCAUGAAGAACUAACUUGUUCAUAAUAAGUUAUUCUGAUUCAUGUCAUUCACAUUACCGUCUAUGUUACAUAUUUUGGAUGGACUUUUGCAUAUUUAUGUUUUAGGACCAUGUUAGAUUGGCUGUAGCCAAAUAUGCUAUUCUUCUUUAUAAAAAAAAAAAAAAAAGUUACUGAUUUGAAUAUGAAAUCAUUCUGAUAUUUAUCCUUUUCCUGGAAAAAUGUUUUACGAAGUUUCAGUUCUAUAUAUAAUUGGAAACAUUAUUUCUUAUGAUUCUGUUGUUACCUCUGAAUGUAUUGAGUAGAAAAUGAAAAGAUAAAUGCAAUGAUUUAACUUUUAAGAUUAAGUAAACUAUUAUAUACAUUAA